rnacentral:misc_RNA from 1 species
GAACCCCAGGAAAGCACUUUUAUAAUUUAACUUAUCAACUGAGUUCAAAAGUUCACAGAAAUAUAUGUCAUGAAAAGAGGUGACAGAAGAAUGAUUAUCGGAACAUGUUAUAUGGAGACAAAGUACAGCAUCUCUACCAGCAAAGGGAAGGCAACUUGAAGGAAAAGGAAGAGGGCAAGUGGCCAGUCCUCCUUAUAUAGUCUGCCCUUUCAGCAGUCCUUACAGCUUUCUCAUUCAUUUUGGCUUCAGCAUUUGCUCUCUUCUCUUCAGCUAUUCUUUUUGUUGCUGCGAGUUUGCUCGCCAGCUUUUCCUGUGCACGAGCUUUUAUUCUCUCAGCCUUCACCUCCAUUUUCCUCAUUUCCAUUUCUGCUUUCCUCUUCUCAUGAUUUUCCCAGGCUUGUAUCUUCACCUCUUCACGCUUAUACCUUGCCAUAUAUUUGGCGCGCUCUGCCUCAUCCCAAGCCAUAGCUCUUGUCUCCAAGGAAUUCAGAUUUCUUGCUUCAUUUAAAUCCUUGUUCUCGGGCAUCUUAGAACCGUUAGGUUCUUCUCCAUGGUGUCCUCUGGCAACAGAAUUGGGCUCACCUCUGUUUUCAGUAGAUCUUAAACCUCCUGGAUAGCCCUGAUCAGUGCCUUGCUGUCCAUGCUGAUGCCUUACGGGAGUGGAGGAUCCAGAAGAUAUGGGGCUCCUUGCUACUGGAGUUCCAGUUCUUAUAGGAGUUGCUGUUCUUGAAGGCUCUUGGCUGGCAAUUGGGGUCAUCUCAGUCCCCAUAUCCCUAACACAUAUUGAUCUAGGAGCAGUUGCAAUAGAAUUCUCUAUUGGGUUAUUGAUUCUCCAAAUGGACUCAUCACAAUCCACCUUCUUAGUUUCCACUUCAUAAGGAUUUGUCACUGAAGCAGGGCAACCAUUUGCCUCUUCUCCUUCAACUUCAUCUUCAUCACUUGGAUAGUCUUGUUCCUGCUGUGGAACUGGAGCUAUCAGUCUCCUAUCAUCAGCAUUUGAGUCUCUUGGCUUGGAUUGGUUUUUAUCUCCCCCUCUUGACAUCCCAACAAGCCAUUUUUGUGCAUCAUCCCAUUUGGAUGGUGCUGGCUUGCCUAAGGCUGUCCUAUGAUGAGAAGUGCGGUUAGCUCCAUUGCUUUUAUGAAACUCAAAACUUAUCCCAUUGCUAGUUGAGAUCUCUUGAAUUGGUCCAUGGUUGUAGCACCCCUUUUCCUCUAUGGAUCUCAUUCUCUAAACAAAAGCUUUCUUAAUUAUUUCCUUACAGAACAAUGCUCGACCACUAAAACCCGAUUUGGAAAAGAGAGUCUAAUUCGUAAGUGCGAAUAAAAGCAUAUCCCAAGUACAACAAAAUGGUCCAGAUCCUAUAUUUCUUGAAACCUAAGCCUGUAUACCCACCUUUAGAUCAAGAGCCAAAGAAAAUGGACCAAGAUUCAUUCCCCCAAGAAAUCACUUGCUCUUAUACAUAUAUAUGAAAACUGAUAUCAAACAACUAGCAUGCAUUUGGUUAGAACCUAAUCAAAGCUUGCAAUACCAGUUAAAUCCUCUCCAAUGCAUUCACGAUCCAAUACAAAAGGACACAUUAAAUAUUUCCUCAUCGCUCUCUGUACAGAAAAAUGUGAGCUCUACUUUUUGAUAGUAAUAAAAACACAUUUCCAAAACUUGUUAUGUCAAACAAAAAGCCAAUACUGCCUAACAGGAACUCUCAUAGUAUCUCAACACAGUGGCUGAGGAGUAGGAAGGGAGGACCCAUUUGCAUACAUAACUAAUUACCAAGCUUAAACUCACAGUGACCCAUAUAUUAAAAAAGAGAGAGAAAAGAGCGGAAAUGAAAACCCAAUAAUGCCUAAGCCAAAAAGCUGUAAGGAUGUAAGCGUGCACUAAAUUAAAAUAGAACCCAUCAUCAAAGCUUCAUGAUUGUCUAGAGCCAUCGAAAACAUUAGAAUAGAAAAAAAAAACGUUGGUUCCAAAGAACAGGAAGUGUAAAAUGCCAGAAAUGGGUUUUGCAGGAAAAACUCAUAUGCAGAGGAAAAAUACCCUAAAACCAUGAAUUUUGGAGACUAGCAGAAGCCAUAGAUGGGGAAGUUCAGAUCCAUUGUGCAUUAAAGUACUAAAAAUAAACAAAUAACCUGCAGCAACAUGUAUUACAGUAAAAAAUUCACAUUGAAACUUGUGUACACUGUAAAGUGUUUCACUUUACACAUUACAUAUUUUCUCUGUUUUCUUAUAUUUUUU